rnacentral:lncRNA from 1 species
CAGAAGAAAAGUACAGAAAGAUUUAUUACCUAUAAGCCUCGUGAAUGCACCUGGGAUUCAAAGCUAAUUUUACCAAAAGACCCCUGGCCCAUUACAUUUGCUUCCUACACAAGACAUAGAAAACAAUGUAACGUGUACAGUGCAUUUAUGGAUCGUGUGGAAGAAAAAUUUACCCAAACAUGCAAGAACAGCCAAAUGCAGGCUCCAGCUCCAAAGAAAAUGACAUGACAGUCCAUCACCGACAGUGUCUUAAAGCCAGUACAGAAAAUCCUAACAUUGUUAACUGUAGCACUAUGACUUCAGGGCCUUCAGCCUCAGCCAGAACCAAUCCUUCCUGGAUGUUACGGGAAGCAUCUUCUAUUAACCAAAAGGCAAAUCUACCUCAAUGUCUCUCAAGUUUCACAAAAU